rnacentral:rRNA from 1 species
UACGGGGGGAGGCAAGCGUUGUUCGGAUUUACUGGGCGUAAAGGGCGCGUAGGCGGCCACUGCAAGUCAGUUGUGAAAUCUCCGGGCUUAACCCGGAAAGGUCAACUGAUACUGCAGGGCUAGAGUGCAGAAGGGGCAACUGGAAUUCUCGGUGUAGCGGUGAAAUGCGUAGAUAUCGAGAGGAACACCUGCGGCGAAGGCGGGUUGCUGGGCUGACACUGACGCUGAGGCGCGAAAGCCAGGGGAGCGAACGGG